rnacentral:lncRNA from 1 species
CUGAGCUGAGAGUGGGGAAGGAGGAGGGGGGCGCCCCUCUUACUAAUCACUGCAUGAACUUGCACAUGGUUUGAACUUUUUAUAAAGAGCAGGUCAUCUUGUAUUACUUUCUUAAUCUUCAAGACAUCAAAAAGAAUGUAUAGGCAAGAGAAAGGAUUCUAUUUCUAUAGAAGAAAUGUAUCAUAAUUGGACAGUAUCUGCCAACAGACAGAAAAGUUUCUGACUUUUGCUAUGAGAAUUUCAUUUCUGGAAUUCUAUCCUGGAAAGGGGGGGAAAAAAAAGCAGAGGAGAGCAAAAUUCUAUGUAAAAAUGUUUUUAAAGUAUUACUUCUAAUAACAGAUAAACUGGAAAGAAACUAAAUGCCCAACAGAGAACAGAGAUGGGACAGCUUCAUGAUGGCCUGAGGCAGUGCCAUUUAAAAUAUUUUUGAAAGGUCACUAGCAGCAGGAGGAGAUGAUCCUUACCUGUUUCUGGCCUAUAAACCUAACUAGUCACAUGUAUGAAACCACAGGUGACCUCCUCCCUACCACCACCGCCCGAGAAGAUACAAAGAAUCUUUGAAGAGUUGGCACCUUUGGAGCAAGGUUUCAAGAUUACGGCAGAUGGAGUUUCACCAGUGACGGCCUGCCUGCCUUACAACCACCUUAACGGUCCCACUGUCCUGAGUUCAAGGAGAGAUAAGGGGCUGCAGGAGACCCACUACAAGAAGCCAGCUAAUGAAUGUAACAGACCCAAACUCUUAAUGGCUUAGCCCCAAAUCCCAACUGAAGCCACUUCC